UUGAACGCUGGCGGCAGGCCUAACACAUGCAAGUCGAGCGGUUGAGGUAGCUUGCUACCGAUGCAGCGGCGGACGGGUGAGUAACGCGUGGGAAUCUGCCCAGUAGUGGGGGACAACAGCCGGAAACGGCUGCUAAUACCGCAUACGCCCUACGGGGGAAAGGGGGGGAUCUUCGGACCUCUCGCUAUUGGAUGAGCCCGCGUCGGAUUAGCUAGUUGGUGGGGUAAAGGCCUACCAAGGCUACGAUCCGUAACUGGUCUGAGAGGAUGAUCAGUCACACUGGAACUGAGACACGGUCCAGACUCCUACGGGAGGCAGCAGUGGGGAAUAUUGGACAAUGGGGGAAACCCUGAUCCAGCCAUGCCGCGUGUGUGAAGAAGGCCUUAGGGUUGUAAAGCACUUUCAGUGGGGAGAAAGGUUUGUCACCUAAUACGUGAUGAAAUUGAUGUUACCCACAGAAGAAGCACCGGCUAACUCCGUGCCAGCAGCCGCCGUAA
rnacentral:rRNA from 1 species